UUGUUAUUGACAUUGAACCAAAUAUGAAGCAAAUAGAAGAUAAAGUGAUGUUGGUAUUUUGGAUUUGGUUUUGCUUUUCUACACUUUCACUUUCCAAUCAAGUGACUAAUUUAUACCUAUAAUGAAUGUCAAUGACCUUUUUCAAUAACUUUGUGGAUCAAUACUUUGCUUUUGCAAAAUUUCAUGUUUCAGUUUCUUUUGGACUCUUCUGCAUUUGUUUUGAUCAUUUUUGUGUUGUUUUGAAGUAUGUUAGUUUGAUGAGGAUGUUAAGAUGUUAGAUUAUUAGGACACUGAGUUGUUCAUGAGCCUGCAUGAUCUAGAGUUUUACUGCUAUGAAUUUUUAAAUUAUGCUUUUGAAACAACUGAAGACUGAAUAUACUUACUGCUCUAGUGUAACAGGAUCUCAUCUUGGGCCUGCGGUUUUACACGAACUGUUGUUCUUCAAUAUCUCAUCUUGGGCCUGCGGUUUUACACGAACUGUUGUUCUUCAAUGAUUCUAUCCUGGUGUUACUGAUGCAUUAAAAUUUGCAAGCACAAGAGUGUACAAUGUACAUUGUCACCACAAAACAGCAGCGGUAGUACAAAGAUAGGACCUCGUAAGAAUUCAAUGACUUAUGCAGAGAAAGGAGUGCUUCAUUUUGGGUAAGCUGCUCUUUUUUACCUGACGCUAUUGUGCUAUUAAUUAGUCUGGCUUGAUCAUGAAUAAGGUUUGCUUGCUGCAUUUUGGUUUUACAAUACCGAAGUUUUCUGGUU